CUGCCCUUCCUCUCAUUGCCGAGACUCAUCAUAUAUAUAGACAUCAUCGCCAGACAGCUCAUUUAGCAACUUACUACAACAACCAUGAAAACGUCAAUGGUACUAGCUGUGUGUCUCCUGACCGCGUGCCUUAUUUGUCCAGUACUUGGGGCAGGGAAACCUUGCAAAGUUGGAGGCAAAUCGUACGAAGACAACUCGGUCAUCAAGGAGACUAAGUGCACAAUCGAAUUUUGCAAAGAUGGCAUGAGAUCAGAGUUUCCCAACAUGAAGCAGGUGAACGGAAAAUGGGUCUGUAAAGGACAAUAGAAGGAACAAUGGAUUCCCUGAUUUAGCCUCCCGUUCCACGAGAUGAGAAAAUACUGCAUGUUGACAUACCCAACUGGUACGCAUGAUGUCUGGAUUUGGCACAGGAAUACUUCCACACAGUGAACCAGUUUUAAGCUGUACAUUUGAAAUAAAGAAACUGUAGUCAAUGUACUUCAA